rnacentral:rRNA from 1 species
AAGACCUUGCACUUUUGGAGCGGCCGAUGUCUGAUUAGCUAGUUGGUGGGGUAAUGGCCUACCAAAGCUUCGAUCAGUAGCUGGUCUGAGAGGACGGCCAGCCACACUGGGACUGAGACACGGCCCAGACUCCUACGGGAGGCAGCAGUGGGGAAUUUUGGACAAUGGGCGCAAGCCUGAUCCAGCCAUGCCGCGUGAGUGAAGAAGGCCUUCGGGUUGUAAAGCUCUUUCAGUCGGGAAGAAAAGGUUGCGACUAAUAAUCGCAAUUCAUGACGGUACCGGAAGAAGAAGCACCGGCUAACUACGUGCCAGCAGCCGCGGUAAUACGUAGGGUGCGAGCGUUAAUCGGAAUUACUGGGCGUAAAGGGUGCGCAGGCGGUUUUGUAAGUCAGAUGUGAAAUCCCCGGGCUCAACCUGGGAACU